AGAGAAACUACUUUAGUAAAAAAAUAAAUAUUAAUUAUAAAUUGUUACUAUUCCUCUCACCUUACCUUUUUCUUUUAUUUGCAGACUUACCAGUGAAAGAGCUGAGAACCGAUUGCCUUCUGUGAACAACUUUGGACUUCAGCAUUGUGGUGGUAUGGGAUAUGAAAGCAAUUUUCAGGAAUGAAUCAGGAACUUUGGACUGACAUCACAUGGGCCUUCCAGGCCUACAAGGGAAAGAGAAGAGAAAAAGGAACAGAGGGAGUGUUAACACAUGAGAGGAAGAGAACGCACAGUAUCUUGAACUUUCAAGUCUCCUUUUUCUUCUUUUUGCCACUCAGGUUUCUCAUCAGUUGAAGCUCAAAUAAUUCACACCGUGUUCUUCUCGACGUCCUCAAUGCUGCCUGUACUGAAGCACGGUUCACUUCAGGGACUUGUCAUGGCACAAAAAGGGAAACUAUUACUGGAAAGCAGUUCAGAGGAAGCUUUGGGAAAAUGGGGGUGUUUGGCUUUUUAAAAUACAGUUCUUAUGAAGUGCUGUGACAGCUUACAAGGAUCAGAUUGAAGCUUUUUUCAGGGAAAACAUCUCAGCAGUCCUAGAAGCAAGUGUUUUACUUCAGUUCAACAUUCAGUCUUUAACUAAACAUUUUCUUUUUCUGAUUUGCUUUUAUGUGAUUGAUAUCUUUAUUUUUAUUUACUUUUUUUUCCCCUCCAAAGACAUCAACAUUGGAAAUAAUUAAAACUGGAGAUAACCUUCAUUCCCACAUGUACCACCAUUUUUGAUGGGGGAGAAGAAAAGUUUUGGUCUGUUCUUUCCACCAGCCUAAUACACAAUUUUGCAGCUGUGUUAAUGCACAAGCGUAUACAGAUAUGAAGAGCCCUAGUUCGCUGAUAUGCUCAAGGAGGCUCCAAGCAUUAAAGAUAAGCUGUUGCAUUUUACUCUGCUAUAAAACACUGACAAACAUUUCUCAGCACAAUAAAAAGAGAGAUGAGUAAAUGUGGUUUGUAUUU
rnacentral:lncRNA from 1 species